rnacentral:misc_RNA from 1 species
GCAAACUUGGUCAUUUAGAGGAAGUAAAAGUCGUAACAAGGUUUCCGUAGGUGAACCUGCGGAAGGAUCAUUAUUGAAUUCAAAUUUAUUUUGAAACACUUGUGAAACUUGAAAACAUUUUUUUUGCUUGGGUCUGAGAUAUGGCCCAAGGAUAAACUCUUAAUUAUUUUUGUCUGAAAUUUAUUUUACUAAGAAAUCUUAAAAUUUUCAACAACGGAUCUCUUGGUUCUCGCAUCGAUGAAGAACGCAGC